CUCGUAGGCGGCCAACUAAGUCGGACGUGAAAUCCCUCGGCUUAACCGGGGAACUGCGUCCGAUACUGGAUGGCUCGAGUUCGGGAGAGGGAUGCGGAAUUCCAGGUGUAGCGGUGAAAUGCGUAGAUAUCUGGAGGAACACCGGUGGCGAAGGCGACAUCCUGGACCGACACUGACGCUGAGGGAGCGAAAGCCAGGGGAGCAAACG
rnacentral:rRNA from 1 species